rnacentral:rRNA from 1 species
GAUGAACGCUGGCGGCGUGCCUAACACAUGCAAGUCGCACGGGAUCCUUGGAUUCGUCCGAGGUGAGAGUGGCGAACGGGUGAGUAACACGUAGGUGACCUGCCCCGCAGCGGGGAAUAACCACUGGAAACGGUGGCUAAUACCCCAUAUGCUCCACAGUUCGAUCUCUGGAGUAAAGUCCACGCAAGGGGUACGCUUCGGGAGGGGCGCGCGGCCCAUCAGGUAGUUGGUAGGGUAAUGGCCUACCAAGCCUAUGACGGGUAGGGGGCGUGAGAGCGUGACCCCCCACACUGGGACUGAGACACGGCCCAGACUCCUACGGGAGGCAGCAGUGGGGAAUCUUGCGCAAUGGGCGAAAGCCUGACGCAGCAACGCCGCGUGGGGGAUGAAGGCUCUCGGGUUGUAAACCCCUUUCAGCAGGGACGAAACUGACGGUACCUGCAGAAGAAGCCCCGGCCAACUACGUGCCAGCCGCCGCGGUAAAAC